GAAUUCGCCCUUAGAGUUUGAUCCUGGCUCAGGACGAAUUUUGGCGGCGCGCCUAACACAUGCAAGUCGAACGGAGCUGAGAGAAGCUUGCUUUUCUUAGCUUAGUGGCGAACGGGUGAGUAACGCGUGAGUAACCUGCCCUGGAGUGGGGGACAACAGUUGGAAACGACUGCUAAUACCGCAUAAGCCCACGGCCCGGCAUCGGGCUGAGGGAAAAGGAUUUAUUCGCUUCAGGAUGGACUCGCGUCCAAUUAGCUAGUUGGUGAGGUAACGGCCCACCAAGGCGACGAUUGGUAGCCGGACUGAGAGGUUGAACGGCCACAUUGGGACUGAGACACGGCCCAGACUCCUACGGGAGGCAGCAGUGGGGGAUAUUGCACAAUGGGGGAAACCCUGAUGCAGCGACGCCGCGUGGAGGAAGAAGGUUUUCGGAUUGUAAACUCCUGUCGUUAGGGACGAUAAUGACGGUACCUAACAAGAAAGCACCGGCUAACUACGUGCCAGCAGCCGCGGUAAAACGUAGGGUGCAAGCGUUGUCCGGAAUUACUGGGUGUAAAGGGAGCGCAGGCGGACCGGCAAGUUGGAAGUGAAAACUAUGGGCUCAACCCAUAAAUUGCUUUCAAAACUGUUGGCCUUGAGUAGUGCAGAGGUAGGUGGAAUUCCCGGUGUAGCGGUGGAAUGCGUAGAUAUCGGGAGGAACACCAGUGGCGAAGGCGACCUACUGGGCACCAACUGACGCUGAGGCUCGAAAGCAUGGGUAGCAAACAGGAUUAGAUACCCUGGUAGUCCAUGCCGUAAACGAUG
rnacentral:rRNA from 1 species